UAGAUUGCAGCUAGGAGGAAUAUACGAAGCCUUGUUUCUCGAGUUUCUCUGUCUCUUUCUUUUCUUUGCUUUGCUUUGAUUUCCUUAAAAAGAAUAAACUUUGAUUUUUCUACUAUUUUUUGAAGAUUAUUUUAUUUGGCUUCACGCCUAGAAGAUAUGUUUCCAGAUAGGUCCGGGACUUCGGAUAUUUGGAUCAAACCUCGGGUAAAAUCCACUCGAAUCCGGAUCUUUCGGAUAAAUGAAUUCUCUAUCCAAUAUGUACUUAGUAGAUUUCAGUUUGGA
rnacentral:lncRNA from 1 species